UUCCGGCCACGCUUCCUGGAGACGUGCGAGCG
rnacentral:misc_RNA from 1 species